UACGUAGGGGGCUAGCGUUGUCCGGAUUUAUUGGGCGUAAAGAGCUCGUAGGUGGUUCGGUAAGUCGGAUGUGAAAUCUCCAGGCUCAACCUGGAGGGGUCAUUCGAUACUGCCGUGACUAGAGUUCGGUAGAGGAGUGUGGAAUUCCUGGUGGAGCGGUGAAAUGCGCAGAUAUCAGGAGGAACACCAAUUGCGAAGGCAGCUCGCUGGGACGUUACUGACGCUGAGACGCGAAAGCGUGGGGAGCAAACAGG
rnacentral:rRNA from 1 species